CCUUUUGAGAAUUGUUUUUUUUUUCUGUAUUAUUUGUGAAGUCCGGAACAUCACGUCCAGGCCAAGUCAAAUUUUUCUGUCGGAGCUAAACCAAUUUAUUCCAAAUUAAAAGUAAAAUGUUGGGGCGCACAAGUCUUUUGGCUCGUAAUAUUACCCAAAACUUGAUUAGGCACAGCAGUCAUGGCGGUAUUCCCGGAGAGAACUUGCCUUUUGGCCUAAAUAACCGCUAUAAACUAACUGCCUACUUCGUGCUUUUCUUUGGAUCUGGAUUGGCUGCACCUUUCUUGGUUGUCAGACAUCAGCUGCUGAAGAAGUAAAAUAUAAGAUCUAAAUUUAUAAGAAUAAAGAUGAAACUCCCAGAAGGCUUAUCCUGGCUUUUUGCAGAAGUGUUAAUUACGAUUAAAAUUAAAGUGAAAUUGUAUUCACAAAUAAAACACUGUAUGUCACACUAAAAAUUCUAUUAUGCACAGUUUUAAUAAUUUUACAAAACCGCAACUUCUAGGACCGGUAAUAUCCAUUUUUUUUUUCAAUAAGAUAAAUAACUAUCCUGUCGUGGGGAAUGUUUUUUUUUAACCGACUUCAAAAAAGGUCAUCAAUUCGUUUUUUUUUUAUGUAUGUUACCGCAUAACUUUGGACCACGUUAACCGAUUUCUAUAAUUGGUUUAGAUCCGAACAUUAAAUCUUGAAGAAAUUAACGAUAAUUUUAAGUUUUUAUAUGGGAAUUUAAGUCGGUUUUGUUUUUUGCUUAAAAAUUACUUGUUUUUAAUGAUAUUAAACUGCCACCCGUUCCAUUUUGUUCGAUCCCUCUCGCUUCGAAAUAAAAAGAAAAAAAUAAUAUUUUCAAUGCUUUUCUUGUCAUUCCUCUCCGAAAUAAAGUUGACAACGCCAAUUAAAUUGAAGCAUUUUAGCUUAAAAAUAGUUACGAAACGAAAGUUUUAUUGAAGAUAGGUCCCAAAAAUGACUGGCCGACUAGGAGUGCUCGUGCGCGGUGUACGCCAAUUUUCCACUACCACCAAGCUUUAUGGAGGUGGACAUGGUAGGCCGGGUUGCCCUGGAGAGAAUCUUCCAUUCGAU